rnacentral:sRNA from 1 species
UGGUAUUUUCAUGAUGGGUGCAGGACUAUCUUGGUACCAUGGAGUCAUGGGAUUGCUUCAUCCUCAACCAAUAGAAUCCCUUCUAUGGGCAUAUUGUAUUUUAGCAGGAUCAUUAGUAUCUGAAGGAGCAACACUUCUUGUUGCUGUAAAUGAACUUCGUAGGAAUGCUCGGGCUAAAGGAAUGUCAUUUUACAAGUAUGUAAUGGAAAGUCGUGAUCCUAGUACAAAUGUGAUAUUAUUGGAGGAUACUGCUGCAGUCUUGGGAGUUAUAAUAGCAGCCACUUGCAUGGGCCUUACUUCUAUAACAGGGCAAUUCAUGAUGUUAAAGCCACAGAUCUGGGAUUAGGUAAAGUAAGAUUUAAGGCAGAAGUAGAUUUUGAUGGGCGAGUUGUUACAAGAUCAUAUUUGGAAAAACAAGAUUUUGACCAAAUGUUACAAGAAAUUCAAGAAGUGAAAACUCCUGAAGAACUAGAGACCUUUAUGCUUAAACAUGGAGAAAAUAUUAUUGAUACUUUAGGAGCUGAAGUAGAUAGACUUGAGAAGGAACUGAAAGUAAGAUGUAUUCAUAAAAAUAACAUAAUGAUAAUGGCAGCUAUUUUUUUGAGUACUUACUCUACAGCAGACACUAAGUGCAUCCAUCACAUGCAUGCUUUAACCCACUCAUAACUCCACAGUGUGUAGGUAUUUAUAAGCAAGAAAAUGACUGAGUUAGAUAAGUUGAAUAAUUUACCCAAGGAAAUAGGAAAAUUGUGAUUUGAACCAGAUUCUUUACUUUUAAACACUAUUUUAUGCAGUCUGCUUAGUUUCUAAAAUAGUCAAAGGGGGUUUUUUUGUUUGUUAAUAAAUAAGCAUUUUGAAAGUUCCUAGAGAAAGAUGAAAAGGAAACUUUAGACUCUGGUCAAAGUUAGAAAAAAUAGAAUGUAUAUUUUGCUUUUAGCCCAUUUGAAAUUAUUUUCUGUUUUUGUUUGUUUCUAUUCAGUUGGAUGUUAUUGUAAUUUAUUGAUUACGUUACUGAAAUAUUACCUGAUCCUGAUCAGGUUGUCUUUUAAAAUGUCUCAGUGUUCUCAAAUUGCCAUU